CCCCUCUCAGGGUUGCAGCUGGAGAGUUUCCAGUAGUCUACCAGUCUAGGCUAAGGGAGGGACAGUCAAGCAGAGGCCUGUCCAUUUCAUUCCUAGCUUGGGCAGUGGCUAGCGAGGGGAAGGCAAUCUGCAACAAGU